UACGAGGGGAGCAAGCGUUGUUCGGAUUUACUGGGCGUAAAGCGUGCGCAGGCGGCGCGUUAAGACAGGUGUGAAAGCCCCGAGCUUAACUUGGGAAUUGCGCUUGUGACUGGCGUGCUGGAGUGUGGCAGAGGGAGGUGGAAUUCCACGUGUAGCAGUGAAAUGCGUAGAGAUGUGGAGGAACACCGAUGGCGAAGGCAGCCCCCUGGGUCAAGAUUGACGCUCAUGCACGAAAGCGUGGGGAGCAAACAGG
rnacentral:rRNA from 1 species